ACCAAACUCCCACCAUAGGUUGAGUCAUAGCAGAGAGGAAAAGAAAGCAGACACAAAUUCGCAGCGCGGCGCGGCUCCGGCUUCCUGUAAACGUAGCCAGGUGUCGCCGGCGCCGGUCCUUACCGCCGCCGCGCCAGGAGAUGAUGCUGCCCGGGCAUGCCUUGUGCCGCGCUGAACAAGGACUGUUUGAAGAUGCUCCAAGGAAACUUUUAUUUAAUUUCUUGGUCGUUAUAUUGGCUCUGGAAUUUAUCAAUAAGGCUGAUUUGAUUGCCAAAACAUCGGCUCUAAAGGCUGACACUCACACUCCUAUUAUGUCUGCUUCACAAGAAUGGAGUUCAGUUCGGCCCAUGGUAUCCCAAACCAAAGUUGUCACAAGUAUUGCAAUGAGUCAGCAUAGACAAAAGAAGCCAUAUUCAUCACCAUCAGCUCUAUCAUCUGUGCACUCUCCUAUCUCUGCGCCGAGCUAUAGCUCCAUCUCGGGUGCUUCUGAACGCUCUUUUGAUUCACUGGACCUGUUCGAUCCUUCGAUGCAGCACAACAGGCGCUCAGCAGAAGAGGUUCCUGCUCAUGUGGAUGCUGACCUCCCUGAUGCAGCUUCGAAUACUAGUACAGCUCCUUCUGGAGUGGUGCAGCCCCCACUAUCUCCAUACGAUGGCUGUUGUGCUCCGAACAUGGUACAGAGACGAGGUAGCGAGAACUGCCAUUGUGUUUACCCGGUAAGAGUUGUGCUCUUUCUUCACAAUGUUUCCUUGAAUUCAAAUUGGAGCAACGAAUUUCUUGAGGAGCUUGCGUCACAUCUCAACUUGCGGGUUACUCAGUUUGAGAUUGUAAAUUUCUAUGUUGUUGGAACUUCUGGGCUAAAUAUGACAAUGGACAUAGCUCCCCACACUGGAAAUAGCUUCUCAUCCGAACAAGUUACUGCGAUGAAUUAUUCUCUUAGCCUGCAUACAAUUCGGAUCAAUCCAGUACUGAUUGGGGACUACAAUCUUCUUGAUCUAGUGUGGUUCAGGCCAUUGGCUCCAGCUCCUGAUGCAAUAGCAGGCAGCUCGAGCGUACUUAUGCUUCUUUUUGCAUUUUGGUUGGGCUACAGGAAGUACGGAUCCAAAAGGAAAUCAAAGGAGAGAGCAAAGAUUGAGUCCAUCCUACAAAAGAAUGGAACUGUCCAUUUGAAACGGUACACUUAUGCCCAAGUGAAAAGAAUAACGAGAUCUUUUGCUGAAAAGCUAGGUCAAGGUGGAUUUGGUGCUGUUUACAGAGGCGACCUCUUUGAUGGUCGUCAGAUAGCAGUCAAAAUACUCAAGGACUACAAGACUGAUGGGGAGGAUUUCAUCAAUGAGGUAGCUAGCAUUAGUAGAACUUCUCACGUUAACGUUCUUAAUCUCUUAGGAUUUUGCUUGGAAGGAUCUAAAAGGGCAUUAAUUUAUGACUAUAUGCCUAAUGGUUCACUUGAAAAGUAUGCCUUCAAGGAUGGCUCUAAAGGUGGAAAUACUUUAGGUUGGGAAAAAUUAUUUGAUAUAGCAGUGGGCAUUGCUCGAGGACUUGAAUAUCUCCACAGAGGAUGCAAUACCCGCAUGGUGCAUUUUGAUAUCAAGCCCCACAACAUUCUAUUGGAUCAAAAUUUCUGUCCAAAGAUUUCUGAUUUUGGACUAGCCAAGCAGUGCCUCAAUAAAGAAAGUGUUAUUUCCAUUGGUGGUGCAAGAGGAACAAUAGGCUAUAUAGCCCCCGAGGUUUAUUCGAAGCAAUUUGGAACAGUAAGUACUAAGUCUGAUGUUUACAGUUAUGGAAUGAUGGUUCUUGAGAUGGUUGGGGCAAGGGACAAGAAUAUCAGCCAAAAUAGUGAAUCUACCAGCCAAUAUUUCCCACAAUGGAUUUAUGAACAUUUAGAUGAAUAUUGUCUUAGUGCUUCCGAGAUAAAUGGAGGGACCUCAGAGAUUGUAAGGAAGAUGAUAGUGGUAGGGAGGUGCAUACAGUUGAGUCCUACAGAUCGUCCAACAAUGACUAGAGUUGUCGAGAUGCUUGAAGGGAGCACAACUAACAUCGAAUUGCCACCAACGGUGCUCUUGAGUUGAUAGCCUCCAGCCCCGAGAGGAGCCGCCGCCGCCGCCGAGAGGAGACGCCCCAGCCCCGAGAGGAGCCACCGCCGCCGAGAGGAGACGCCCCAACCCCGAGAGGAUCCGCCGCCGCCGGGGAACGAGGUCGCCGCCGCCUCCCUCGCCCGCGGCCAUGAUGACCGAUCUGGCGUGGGCGCCGCAGAUCACCCUCUGGUCCAUGGCCUCGACCAGUUUGCUAUGAUCUGGCGACGGGAUGCAAGGAGAAGCUGCUGCAGUUUCAAGGGGCCGUGAGGAUGCCCACCAUGAAGGCGUGUCUGGGAUGAUGGAGGUGAUAUCCAGGCCCUGCUGAUAUCGGCCAGGUCCCCGAUGCCGUCGACUGGCGGCGGCCACCGUGUCCUCUUCCAUGGCGUCGGCGGGGCCUUCCCCUGCCAAGCGCAGCGGCUCCUUGGCUGGAUCACCGUCGCACACCUCGCCGGCGUGGUCGGCAAGAUCUGCAUCUCGAUCCUCGCCACUCUCCAUCCUCUUGCAGGUAAUAGGCUUUCCGCCCCCUCUUUUAUCUCCCGCGUUCUCGUGUGCACGGAUUGUGAGCGUGAAGGAAUAUUUCUCUUCUAUUUCAUGGUGCUGCUGUGCUCCUUCUGCCUUCACACUGCACAUAUAUAGAUUCUUCAAAGGAAUUGGAUGCUGAUAAUAUCAACUUAGUUCCCUGAAUGUGAUAUAUAUAUAUAUUCUUCCCUCGCUUUGAAUUGAUUGCCCCAAACAAUAUAUCUCUGGUUGACAGUCAUGGCCUAUUAUUAUUGUUGUUAAUUUACAACACUCUGUGCUGUAUUGUCCAAUCAUGGUCCAAACUUAAACCUUGGCUGUGGAUUCAUUGUAUGUACCAUAUGCUGUUCAUAGCUACAAAAUUGCAAUCUCUUGAAAAUGUUCUUGAAUACAGUAAUUUUUUUGUCACAUAACCCAUAUGCUGAUGAUAAAGUUUGUUGUAUGAGCUUGUGGCAUACUGAUCCGACAGGUGGCAGGUAUGCGUUCAGAUGUUGCAGCUCUAAGGAAGGGUAGUAUAUGGCACAUGGCUUUGUGGGUUGUUCGACAAGAAGUGUUUUGGGCAUAUUCGAAAGGCAAUCUUGUCAAAAUUGUACAUCGAUUUUCUUAUUCCGCCAUCAGCUUCUAUUGAUAUGAGCGAUACAAAAAGUUCAGCACUGAAUUUUAGUAUGUUAACUUGCAAGAUUUCUCGUGACUAUUUUUUUUGUUAUAGGUUUAUAAAUUUCGAAAUAUAGUUGCAGCUUCACGGAAUGGACGGCCCAAAUUAUGUUAGUGUCUAUAUGUUUACUUGGUGGUGGUCUAGCGUGAGUGACACCUGCAUCUGUAACUUACCCAUUGGAUGUUGUUCGAAAUCACCUGACAACACAGAAAACCACUAGGUAUUACAAGGGCAUCUUUCACACGUUGUCUACAAUUUGUAGAGAAGAGAGUGGUAGAGGAUUGUAUAAAGGCCUUUGGUCCACCUUAUUGGGAGUUGGACCUGAUAUAUCAAUCAACGUUUAUGUAUAUGAAUCCCUGAGGUCUCAUUGGCAAAUGGAAAGUUGAAUGUCAAACUGUGCGACCAAUGAUUUGCUAUGGUUAAUUCCAGUUGGCUGUGUUAACCUACAGUAAUCAAUCAAGUCAACAAAUAUAACAAUGAUACUUUGUCUUCUGAUUUUUGGUGGUGAUUUUUUUUGUGACUGAACUAACAGGAGCUGAAGCAUGUGUUCUUAUUUUUUUAUAUGACUAGAUGCAUAUGAACUGAAGCUCCAUAAUUUUCUUUUCAAGUCGACAUUGGUGGCAACCAAUACAAUUAGCGUUAUUUACAACCAAUGAAGUCUUAUAAUUUUCUUUCUUAGAAAUAUACAGUGACACUGACUAUCAUUUAGUAGCUCUACCGGCACUAGCCAAAAACAAUAAUAUUUAUUUAUUUAACCACCAAAUAGAACAAUAGGUUAUUCUGCAUUAUGGGUACACAAAUCACAACACUAUAUUUCAGCUGUAGAAAUCUGUGUGGAUGCCUGCUGAUAUUUUAAGCCUACAUAUUGCCGAUUUGGUUUGAGGAAUGCUUGAAGCAUAAUUUACUCCCUAAUGUGCAAAUAGCAGUAUCAUUUUUUGUCAAGAAACUGAGAAGACGGAAGAGAGUUGGUGUUGUCAGUGUGGUGAGCCUAUGCGGCAAC